rnacentral:rRNA from 1 species
AGACUGCCAGUGAUAAACUGGAGGAAGGUGGGGAUGACGUCAAGUCAUCAUGGCCCUUACGACCAGGGCUACACACGUGCUACAAUGGCGCAUACAAAGAGAAGCGACCUCGCGAGAGCAAGCGGACAGGCUGGUGGAUGGGCGCGCCAUGGACAGUAAAAAAAUAUAUGGA